rnacentral:ncRNA from 1 species
AGGAGCUGCCCCUAGUACGAGAGGACCGGGGUGGACGGACCACUGGUGUAUCAGCUGUCGACCAACGGCAUAGCUGAGUAGCCAAGUCUGGACGGGAUAAACGCUGAAGGCAUCUAAGCGUGAAGCCCCCCUCAAGAUGAGAUAUCCCCUCCUUCAAGGAGAUAAGAUCCCUUAAAGACGAUAAGGUAGAUAGGUUCAAGGUGUAAGUGCGGUAACGCAUUCAGCUGAUGAAUACUAAUAGAUCGAAGGUUUAUUCUA